AGGAUUCCCCUAGUAACGGCGAGUGAAGAGGGAAAAGCUCAAAUUUUGAAUCUGGCGUCUUUUGGCGUCCGAGUUGUAAUCUAGAGAAGUGUUUUCCGUGGCGGACCGUGCACAAGUCUCCUGGAAUGGGGCAUCAUAGAGGGUGAGAAUCCCGUAUAUGGCAUGGACUACCGUUACUCUGUGAUACACUCUCAACGAGUCGAGUUGUUUGGGAAUGCAGCUCUAAAUGGGUGGUAAAUGCCAUCUAAAGCUAAAUACUGGCGAGAGACCGAUAGCGAACAAGUACCGUGAGGGAAAGAUGAAAAGCACUUUGGAAAGAGAGUGAAACAGUACGUGAAAUUGUUGAAAGGGAAACGCUUGAAGUCAGGCGCACCCUCGGGGACUCAGCCUUGCUUCUGCAUGGUUUACUUCGCCUUGGGUGGGUCAACGUCAGUGUUGGUCAGAGGGGAAAGACUUGGGGAAGGUAGCAGGAUUUAUUCUGUGUUAUAGCCUCUUGUUGUAUACUUUGACUGGAACUGAGGACCGCAGCGCGCCUUUACGGCCGGGGCUUGCCCACGUACGCGCUUAG
rnacentral:rRNA from 1 species